GAUGAACGCUGGCGGCGUGCCUAAUACAUGCAAGUCGAGCGAACAGACGAGGAGCUUGCUCCUCUGACGUUAGCGGCGGACGGGUGAGUAACACGUGGAUAACCUACCUAUAAGACUGGGAUAACUUCGGGAAACCGGAGCUAAUACCGGAUAACAUGUUGAACCGCAUGGUUCAACAGUGAAAGACGGUUUUGCUGUCACUUAUAGAUGGAUCCGCGUCGCAUUAGCUAGUUGGUAAGGUAACGGCUUACCAAGGCAACGAUGCGUAGCCGACCUGAGAGGGUGAUCGGCCACACUGGAACUUAGACACGGUCCAGACUCCUACGGGAGGCAGCAGUAGGGAAUCUUCCGCAAAGGGCGAAAGCCUGACGGAGCAACGCCGCGUGAGUGAAGAAGGUCUUCGGAUCGUAAAACUCUGUUAUUAGGGAAGAACAAAUGUGUAAGUAACUAUGCACGUCUUGACGGUACCUAAUCAGAAAGCCACGGCUAACUACGUG
rnacentral:rRNA from 1 species